CGAACGGCUAGGAAGAACAAUUUCAAGGUUCACAUGGGCCUCAAGCACAGGCAGCAAGUUGCUGUGGGAUUCGAUACAUAUGGGAUACCUCAAGUCUAACUCCGGGCGGCUAAUGAAGUGGUGGACACCAUUCGUCCCCUGACUCCGGACCUUUCGUCUGUCCCAACUGCGGUCGUUCGUAUAAACACCAACGGAACCUGACGUCACACAUCAACUUGGACUGCGGGAAAGAGGCGGCGUUCCCCUGCCCGCUGUGUCCCUUCCGCGGCAAGCGUCGCAACAAGCUCAAGCUUCACAUGGCCAUGAAACACAGUGGAGUCAAUCCAAUCCCAAGCUUAGACGAUGUUUCCAACUUAUUAAGUUUUGAUAUGUGAUUAACUGUUGAUUAAGCUUAACUAUGUGUGAUACCAUUACAAUACUGUGUGCAAGAUCUUCAGGUGACUUUAAUAUAGUUGUACUUUAACAAAUUAGCACGAUAUAUUAGACAUAUUUUAAUUUUAAACCAACUGUGUCAGGUCUAUGAUAUAUUUUAGUGUACUGUUUAUACAUAGGUUGUGAUAUACGCGUAAAACAUGUUUUCUUCGAAUAAAUGAGAUUUACGAUCUCAAUAGCAAUUU